UUUUUUUCAAAGAAAGGCAUUUUUUUUUUUAACAAAAACGUUUAUAUUUUCGCUAUUCCAUUCCUAAACCAAUCUAUUUCCCACCACCCACCACCCACCAAGUCUUUUUAGAUGCUAACUUCAGAUUCUGAAAGACUUACUCAGACUUGCUAAUUUUGCCUUUCCAAUAACCAUUAUCCCAGUCCCAGAAAUCUUUAAGAAUAUCUGAUAUAUUGGACUGUAAACAAGUUUUGUGUUUCUUCAUUUCUUUCUACCCUGCAAUUAUGAGGUUUUAGGUUCAAUUCACAGGCAUGGCACUUUAAGGUAACAUCUAGCACUUUAAUCGCAGAUCGACUUAAACUUUAUCAAUGAACUUGGAUAGACUACAAGUGUGAGAAAUUACCUCUCUAAUUGGACAUACUAGUUAGGCACCUGUAAUGUUGUAUCUACCUUAUGCAGUACAUCAUUACACUGGAUUAUGUUAAAGGUUCAAGUAUUCUGAAAAGAUAAACCCUGUGAAAAUAUACAACAGUGUGUAACUAAACCGAAAUAUACCUCUCAAAUUCAUUAUACUUGAUAAGCGUUUCAACUGCAAACACAUUAUAUUUACUGGUCCAAACUAUAUUAUUAACUAAUGAUAUAGAAACGGUAAAGCAUUUGCUAUACGAAGAUUAUGUUACCAUUUGUCUAGCUUUACUAGUGCCAUACCAAUGACUGUGUAAAAUAUGGGAGGUUUUUCUGCUGCAGACUGAAUGAGGAGGUACAAGUUAAUGUGACAUCCAUCAUCAUCAUCAGCAUGCUGUUACUACGUUGCAGAAUAAGGAUUUUUGGUAGACUAAAAAGAAAGAAAACAAUUCAUUAGUCUGUUAAAAAUAACACCCAAAUUACCCUUGAAUCACACCCACCAUCAUCUUAAACCAGGAAGGAUACAUGAGAUAAUGUAUUCUUAAAAAACUUAGAAUAUGCCAUUGGAUGGUCACAGUUGGAGUGUCUUUGGUUAUGAGCUGGCUUGAUUAGAGAUCACCUGGAUUUAUUAAUGAUAAACAACAAUAAUGACUGAGAAAAAGAAAUGAUCAAAAACACCAUUUAUUAAUAUGAUAAUGUCAAUUCUUGGACUUCCAUCCCCACCCCCACUACCUUGGUUAUAAGACUUCUUUGAUAAGCAAUUCCAGCUUUGGUACCAUUCUGUUCAGUUAUCCAAGAACACUAAUGAAGAACAGAAUAUGUUGAAAGUGAGUGAAGCCAUAUUAUUUUAAUGACAGUCCUGAGCUUCCAAAUAGACAUACUCCAUUAUAGAAAGAUACCAAUAUCGGUGCUGCUUUACAUACAUAGAUCCGAUUUUGAAUUGAGAGGAAAAAAAAAGAAGCAAAACCAAAGAAUAACAACGGAUAAACAGACAGAAAUGAAGAAUUGGAAGCGAUUAAUGGAAUACAAAGGUUUCUUAAUAAAGCUGCUUUAUCUGGCUAAAAGACCAAACUAGUUUACCCUUUGGCAGCAGAAGUUUUCAGUUCUUCUGUUGUACAAUUCUUGCUUUGGUUAGAAUGUUCCAGCAUAGAUUUUUAUUUGAUUACACUGUGAUUUGGCUGGGAAUUCUUCAAAAAAAUGGAAUUGUUUAUCUUUUUGGUAUGUAGAAAUUCUGGUAUGACACCACCUGCACAGUCUAUACUUUGCAAUCACACUCUACCAAUAUAUAUAUAUUCUUUUAUUUUUGUUUGAGUCAAUAGACUUUGGCCAUGCUGGGGUAUUGCCUUG
rnacentral:lncRNA from 1 species